UGGAAAAACAGCCUAUUGCGAGCACCCCUAUGAGGAGAGAGGUCCAUCUGAAGACGAAUUGAUAUCUCUCAUCAACAGCCAGUAAAAUUCUGAGGCCUGCCUAUAGCUACAUGACAUCUCAAUGCAAGGUCACUUCAGAAGUCUGGAGGCUUCUAUAACAGCACACAGGAUCAAAGGAAGGACCCUCCACUCAAGAAUAAUCUGUCAUGACUGCGGCUAAUAUCAACGUUAUCCAAGACCUUAUUUAGGUUCCUUGAAAGCUGGUAUCUGUGCAGCUUCCAUUCAGGUGGAAGGUAUUGAAAUCAUCAUAGACUGGCAAAAAUGGCCAAGCGCAGUGGCUUACACCUGUAAUCCCAAUACUUUGGGAGGUCAAGGCGGGCAGAUCACUUGAGCUCAGUAGUUCGAAACCAGCAUGGGCAACAUGGUAAAACCCUGUCUCAACUGAAAUAAAAAAGUUAACUGGA